rnacentral:lncRNA from 1 species
GCAUAGGUCCUUCUCUGUGCUUACCUGCUGGGAUCCACUAUGAUGUCUCUACCACUGAGGCUGUUCCUCCUCUCAAGACUCAAGACCCUCUUUACUUCUUUUAACUCCACUAGAGGAAGGACAGCAGUAAAAUGUUCAAUGCUGUUUGUGUCUGUUCUUGGCAGUGACAUUCAGUUCUCUUUAUAAAACAAGGGAGUAGAAAGAGAGUAGAAGUGACAUCUUCACACACACAUACCCUUUGCUAGAUUUGUCAAACAGCUGAUUUCAAACUGUUAAUAUGAAAUAGAAUCAAUUUUUUUGAGUCAAACUUUUCAUUAUACAAUAGAAUUGAAAAGCUAAUAUCAGAAUAACUGUCUGUUAGUAAGAUUUUAUUUAAAAAAUUUGGUUACAUACACACCUAAACAUUCACUUACAUUCUUAUAGCAUAUGACACUGUGUGUAGAAACAAUCUAAUACUAUACUUGUAACAUUUUCUUUAUAUGAAAUUUGUACAUAACAAAUAAUGUCCAACAAUUAAUAAAAUUUGUGGUGGUUUUUGUCUUUUGCUACAAUAAAGUUUUAUGCAAUAGUAUUUAGCUGGUUGUAUUAGAUAGUGUUGACUUAUUGAAAGAAUUCCUUUGCUUUAUUUAAGAAAAGCAAGACCCAAAACCAUGAAGCAAGAAGCUUAAAUUUAUAAAGUGGACUUUAUAUUACAAAUUUAUAUUCAUAAAAUGCCUACAUGAGUAAAAGCUAAAUUAAGUGAUGAGUUAAAUUCAUUUUUUGUCUAAAC